rnacentral:rRNA from 1 species
UACAGAGGUCUCAAGCGUUGUUCGGAUUCAUUGGGCGUAAAGGGCGCGUAGGCGGGCGAUCAAGUCGGUGGUGAAAUCCUACAGCUUAACUGUAGAACUGCCUCCGAUACUGGUUGUCUCGAGGAAGGUAGGGGCGUGCGGAACAGUUGGUGGAGCGGUGAAAUGCGUUGAUAUCAACUGGAACUCCGGUGGCGAAGGCGGCACGCUGGACCUUUUCUGACGCUGAGGCGCGAAAGCCAGGGGAGCAAACGGG